GACGAACGCUGGCGGCGUACUUAACACAUGCAAGUCGAACGGUGAACGAGGGAGCUUGCUCCCUCCGGAUCAGUGGCGAACGGGUGAGUAACACGUGAGCAAUCUGCCCCGAACUCUGGGAUAAGCGUUGGAAACGACGUCUAAUACCGGAUACGACGCGGGAGGGCAUCCUCUCCGCGUGGAAAGAACUUCGGUUCGGGAUGAGCUCGCGGCCUAUCAGCUUGUUGGUGAGGUAACGGCUCACCAAGGCGACGACGGGUAGCCGGCCUGAGAGGGUGACCGGCCACACUGGGACUGAGACACGGCCCAGACUCCUACGGGAGGCAGCAGUGGGGAAUAUUGUACAAUGGGCGCAAGCCUGAUGCAGCAACGCCGCGUGAGGGACGACGGCCUUCGGGUUGUAAACCUCUUUUAGCAGGGAAGAAGCGAAAGUGACGGUACCUGCAGAAAAAGCACCGGCUAACUACGUG
rnacentral:rRNA from 1 species